rnacentral:lncRNA from 1 species
GGGAAUCCGAGUUACGGAUCUUCCGGAAUUGGAAUUGUAAGUCCAUAAUAUAAAAUGUUAACCGUCACUUAGUUUUGGAAAUUGACGGAGAUCCGACCGUUGGAUGGUAAUGAAAUUUUAGGAUGUUGUCCUAGAGGUAUAAUGUGGACCUCUGGAAGUUAUGGAUUUAAAAUCUGAGUGGCAGAUCUUCCGGAUCGAUCUACGUAGUGACGUAUUUUAUAUAAGUUAUAUAUUCUAUCGAUAUGAAUUCUGAGGUUGGAUUUGAUUACUGUUCUAGGCGGCGAUCGUCAUGACGCCUUGAUGUGUGGUGCUAGGGAGUUGUUGGACGAACUCCAGGUGAGUGGGCAGUUUUGUUUUCCGUAUACAUAUAUAAUUGACGUUUCCCAGAAAUUGAAAAUGUUACGAAAGUAUGCUUUAAAUGCAAAGUAUAAAAGUAUGUUUUCAAAUGCCAUGAGUAGAUUAUAUGAAAGAUAUGAUUUGAGAUAUAUUAGUUGAAAUACCAUGCUUAGAAGUAUGUGAAAAGUAUAUAGAAAUGUGAAUCGAAAUGCCAUGCAUGAAAUGAUAUGAAAAGUAUGAAUUGAGAUAUGAUGCAUAUGUAUGAAUUGGUGCUGUGGACGCACAGGUGAGUAUCAGGUGAGUAUAUUACUGCUAUGAUGAUGUUGAGAUAUAUUGAGCUCAUAACCUGCACCUUGGUAUUAGUGCUUAUUAUUAUUCACCGCAUCGCAUGCUCACCUUGGAUCCAAGUAGAUGCUAGUCGUACAGACCACCGGGGGUGGUUCCGACAUGCCAGUCGUACAGACCAUUAGAGGGGUUCCGACUGGUAGGUGACCUUAGAUUAUGUGCACAGAUGAUUGAUGAGAAAAGCACUAGAGCAUAUUAUUACACCAUUAAGUCGUACAGAUUACAUUAGGUAAUUCCGACUUAUGUGCAGUGUAGUGCCGUACAGGUCAUACUAGGUGACUCCGGCAUGGCCGAACAGGUCACAGUUGGUGACUCCGGUUAUAUGAGAUUUUGAGCUCUACAUUCAGCCGUACAGGACCAUUGUAGGGUCUCCGGUUGAUUUCUUUCUUGCACCUGAUAUGAUUAUUGCUGAUGCAUUCAUACUUAACUGUUGAAUUUAGACAUGGCAUGGCAUGAUUGAUAAAGAUAAAUGUUGAGAUAGUAAAAAUGAAGUUUUGAUAAUAUAUAUGUAUAUUUAUAUUUUACAUUUCUGGGAAAGUAUACAGGUUUUACGGAGAGGGGUUACAACGUUUUGAGAAAUGUUUGGAUUUGGAAAAGAAUUGUUUUACUGACCCACUCAAUUUUGGUUUUGCGCCCCUCCAGGUUCAUGAAUCACAAAGGUGUGGUGACUACGAGGAAUUCGACGGUGUUCUGACAGAUUGGACAAAAUUAGGACUCACUUUCGGGUGUAUCAACUUAGGAAUUGUAUCUUAAAGCUUCCGUACUGUGCAAAUGGUUACGUCACUCUCACGUGACGGCCAGCAUGCCCUCCUUCGGGACGGGGUGUGUCAGUUGGUAUCAGAGCAUGGUUGCAAUCUUGGACAUUUUGAGAAGUUCUAGUGAAUUCUGUCAGAACUACACCGCCUCGUAGCAAGCCACUUAGUUAGAGGAAUUUAGUCUCCCUAAUAUAACGGUUUAGGGGAAACUAUUAUUAUGGUGAUUCAGUCUAUUAUAAAAAGGGACAUUUUAAGAUGGGUUAUGAGUUGAAUUUGAAUCACUUAAGAGAAAUGAUGAACCUGAGGGAGCGAAGUAACGGUUUAACCAUUUGGAAAAGAUGUUUCGGAUUAUGCAAGUCAAAGGAAUCUUCCUUCUGACAAGGGGUCGAGAUGACUACCUGGUUUGAGUUAUGAACGUGUAUCCUGAUGGAAGCAGGAGUAUUAAUUGUUGUCAUCGGAGGAACAGCCGAUUUAAAAUUGUUUAAGGACUUGUUUAAGGAAAAGUUUAUCCCUCCGGCAUUUAUCGAUGGUAGUAAACAAGAGUUUACAAAUAUGAGACAAGGAAGGUGAUGAUCGAGGGAUAUUAUAGAAAGUUUUCAGACUUGCCUUGUUCCAUCCAGAUAUUGUUGUUAUUGGUGGAGGUGUUAUGUUGUUUUAAGCUGGGUGGCAAAAAGGGAAGUGGUAUUUUGGGUGACCACUAUCCAUUGUAGUUCUUAUCAGGAGUAUGCUAGAUGUUGUUGAGUCUUGAGGACUCUGAGAACAUGAGCAACGAGAAUAAAGAAGAAUAAGAAAUGAAUGGGAAUUUAAAGAAGACGAUAAAGUUAAUGAUUCGUCAUAUCAAGGAGAUAGAAAGAUUCAGAGCUUCGAAAGAAGUGAAGCUAGAGUUAAUUCUUCCAGCUGAGGUUUUAAUGUCGCUGGUCAGAGUAAAAGUGAUGGAUAUACUGGUAAUCCCAGAUAUUUGAGACAAGGUGUCUCGAGUAAAGGAAAUGUACUUUGUGCAGCAGGUACAAAAUUAACACUUUGGGAAAUGUGAAAUUAAUGAAUGUGUUUAUGUAAACAGAGGGGACACAUAAUUGUGAAUCGUCCCUAAAAUCAGUUGUACUCAACAAUUUUCCAUGAUAUCAUAGUGUCAAUUCAGCAGAGUUAUGGACUUAGUAGUUUGGUUGGAUUGACCAUGAGUACCGAGAGAUUUGAUGAGUUAUAUGUUCAGCCGUACAGGCCAAAAGAGGUGGAUCCGGCUGACACAUGAGAAAUUGGUGAGUUAUAGGCUCGGCUGUACGGACCACAAGAUGUGGAUCCGGCCGACGUAUUUACUGGGGAAUUGAUGUGUAAGUCGUACAGGUCACUAUAAGUGACUCCGACUAAUGUGCUAGCAUAGAUGGUUGAGCUGGAGAAUCAGCCGUACAGGUCAUUCUAGUUGACUCCGGCUGAUAUAUUUCUGAGUAUGGACAAUGAUGCCAAAGAAAGUAAUGUUGGAACGUGAUAGAGGCGUAUAUGUGUAUUCUAAUGAAAAAAAAAAAUGAUAGUAUUACACCUUUGGGAAUUGUUGCUUACUUAUCGAGACAACGAUGAUUUAUCAGUAUUGCGGGCUGCAGACCGUAAUAUUAAUAACUCAUUCGUGGAUUCGUUAAGCAAGCAAACCGGUAUUUUAUUUUAUGUUAGUGUUGUACUUAUUUAGAAUGUUCAGUAAUAAUAAAGUAUGUAUUGGGUCAGUUAAUUUUAUUCCAUUAGAUUGAUUAUUUAUAGUUGUGACUAGAUGGAAUAUUACGGGAAACCAGUUACUUUCCAUCGAUCUGGAUGACCAGAGAUUACUUUUGUAAGUAUGCAAAAUGGAUUGAGUCAGGCCGUUAUUUAUGCUGUGAGAGCAAAGAGAUUGUUUUCGAAAGGCUGUCAAAAAUACUUAGCUCAUGUGGUGCUAAAUGAUGUUGUUUGGAGUAGUGUGAAUAAUGUCGAAAGAGUUAGACUUUUCUUGAUGUCUUCUCUGAAAGUAUACCUGGAUUGUCUUCAGGCAGAGAUAUGAGGUUCAUUAUUGAUUUGUUGCCAGGUAUAAAUUUAUGUUAAAGAUUGGUUCAUGAUGAGUUAAGGGAAUUGGAAAUUCAGUUGAGAGAAUUGGUUGAUAAAAGUUUUAUUCAACCUAGUACAACACUGUUGAGGAGCACCAGUUUGUUGGUGAGAAAGGAAAUGGACUUAGAGAUUGUUCAUUGAUUAUAGAUAAUGGAAUCGGGUAACGAAUGAGAACCGUUAUCCAUUGUGGUGUAUUGACGCUCAUUUGAUCAGUUCAAAGGUGCUUGUAUAUUUUCAAAGAUUGACUUGAAUACUGUUUAUUAUCAAUUGAAGAUUAUGAGUUAUUGGAUGAAGUAUUCCAAUAAUGCCUUGAUAAAUAGAUAUCAUUUUCAUUGAAGAUAUUCUGGCAUAUUCUGAGCCAGAGCAGAACAUGUAAACGUAUUAAGUCGGUGGAACAAAGAUUGGAAGAAUGUCGGUUGUAUGCUAAGUAGCAAAUGCUAAAGUUAGAUGAAUCAUGUGGCAUUCUGAGAAUUGUUAUAUAUUCUUAAGGUAUUCAAGUGAAUCCUUAAAAGAUAGCAGAAAUUGAGAAAUUGGAACAACCACAAGCCAUAAUUGAGAUUCGGAAAUUCUUAACUUAUCAGGCUAUUUUGGAUGGUUGUGAAAGAAUUUUUAGUCAUUGUUUUGUCAUUGAUGAGACUGUUGAGAAAGGAGGUUAUGUAUGAGUGGGAAGGAAAUUGUGAGCAAAGGAUUCAACAACUGAAGUAUUUCCUCACUCAUGCACGUAUUUUAGUAAUCCCAAAGAAUAAUGGUAAUCAUAAAUUUUUAGUGAUGUUUCUUGAAUGGUAUUGGAUGCAUGUUGAUGCAAAUGUUAGGGUGAUUGCAUACGUUUCACGACAAAUGGAAUCUCAUGAGAUGAAUUACCCUACUGGUGAUUUGGAAGUCACGAUUACCAUCCUUGCUGUGAAGUUAUGGAGACAUUCUAUGUUGAUAAGAAUGCAAGAUUUUACAAAUCAAAAGAGUCUCCAAUAUUUGUUUACUUGGAAGGAUUUUGAUAGGAGGCAGCGAAUGUGAAUUGUAUUGCUUAAUGAACAUGAUUGUACGAUCAGGGUGAUCGUAAAGUUUGUUCUAACUGAAGCACUUGGUGAGAAGACUACAAUAAGAUUAAUGUCUGGCACGUUUGCCAAGAGUAUCAUCUUGUGGAUUGAAACCAACGGAAGAAAAAUUAAGAAUGGAAGAUCGAGAAGAAGUUAUACUUGUUAAAUUUCAAGUUAGGCCUGUUUGGUAAGGUCGUACUUGAAACUUAAAUGCUUGACGAAGAAAUUUAAGAAUUAACCAAGGUAGAGAAAGAAGGUAAGUUAAAUCCUAAGUUAAUCGGACUUAAGUGAUUAUCGAAAAGUUGGUGAAGUUGCUUACAAGCUUGUGAUGCCCUCAGAAUUGGUUAAGGUGCAAAACAUAUUUUAUGAUUCGAUGCGUUGUCACUAGGUGGCAGAUUCGUCACAUAAGAUUCUGGUGUAACUAUUGAGAAUUAAAUUGGAUUCGACUUGAUAAGGAACCAAGGACGACUUUGGAUUGGAAAAAGAAGGUCCUGAGAAAUUAAGACAGAGUAAGUAGUAGUAAAAGCUUUGUGAAGGAAAUCAUUCAGUAGAAAAGUAUGUGGGAGAAAGAGAAUCGGAUGAGAAAGAUUUACCCGAAGCUAUUGUUGGAGUAUGGUUUGAUUUUAGUUGGUUGCUGGAAUUUCGGGGACGAAAUUCUAUAAGGAGGGAAGAUUGUCACAGCCCGUCCCGGAAUUUUAAUUCCGAGGACAUGAAAAGACGAAAAUGCCCUUAAACGGGACUAAGGGGCGAAAAUUUAACAAUUUGGAUUGAGUUGGACACGUGGGAUCCCCACACCCCUCAAUCCUCUCCCUAUUUUCUGCAUACUGUCUCUCUCUCCUCCCUCACGAAUCUCUCUCUCUCUGUCACUCUUCUUCUCCGUUCGAACAAACCAACCACAAAACAACCUUAAACUUCCACCAACGACGGAGUUAAGACUACCAUCGAACUCCUGGAGACUCCACGAUCACGUAGACACCAAUUUCAGGUAAGUUUUACUUCGGAAAACCUAGAUUCUAAACUCCCCGUGAAAGUGCACUGUUCAUGAUCUUCGAAUUGACUUUGUUUUAGGACAAUCCAAGCUCACAGUGAGCUUAGUGAGGUUCCAAGGAAGCUCGGAGUGCUUCGUUGGAAGUUUUUGGACGUAAGAACACGGAGAUCGAUAAGUUCAAAGUUUGGCCGGAGCUUUCGAGGCAUUUUCCGGCGAAUCCCCGGCGAGUUAGGCGUCGAGGUAGGUAUCAAUCUCUUUCGUCUCGUCAAGUACUACAAACUUUCCUUUUUGUUUCACUCAAUUUCGUUGAGUAUUGAAGAAGUUAUACUCAUUUGAAAAAUACCCAGUUUCCGGCGACCUCCGAGGCUUUCGAGGCAGUUUCCGGCCAAACUACGGCGAACUAGGUGUUGGGAAAGGUACCAUUCUCUUUGUCUCUUCAAGGGCUACAACUUUCGUUUUUGAAUCACUUGAUUUCGUUGAGAAAUGACAAAGUUAUGGUAAUUUGAAAAACUGCCCAGAAAACGGCCGCCGGAAAAACCAGUCCGGCGACCCAAGGAAGAAGAAGGUGCUACAGUAAAAAAAUAAAUAAAAAUAAAAUUAUUUUAAAAAUAUGUCGACGUCCGUGACGUCGAGUAGAUCACCGUGGUAUAUUCAUAUACCCAAAUUGAACACCGUAUGAGAAAGUUAUUGAAGAUUGUUGGUUAGGUGUUCAAAUAACGUUUUUAUAGUUUUCACAUUUAGGUGAAAAUGUGAAUUGAUGAUCCGACCGUUGGAUCGUCACCAAACUUUGAUACGUUGUAAUACGUAAUAUUUGAGGAUUAUUGGAACUUACGGAUUGGGAAUCCGAGUUACGGAUCUUCCGGAAUUGGAAUUUGUAAGUCCAUAAUAUAAAAUGUUAACCGUCACUUAGUUUUGGAAAUUGACGGAGAUCCGACCGUUGGAUGGUAAUGAAAUUUUAGGAUGUUGUCCUAGAGGUAUAAUGUGGACCUCUGGAAGUUAUGGAUUUAAAAUCUGAGUGGCAGAUCUUCCGGAUCGAUCUACGUAGUGACGUAUUUUAUAUAAGUUAUAUAUUCUAUCGAUAUGAAUUCUGAGGUUGGAUUUGAUUACUGUUCUAGGCGGCGAUCGUCAUGACGCCUUGAUGUGUGGUGCUAGGGAGUUGUUGGACGAACUCCAGGUGAGUGGGCAGUUUUGUUUUCCGUAUAUACAUAUAUAAUUGACGUUUCCCAGAAAUUGAAAAUGUUACGAAAGUAUGCUUUAAAUGCAAAGUAUAAAAAAGUAUGUUUUCAAAUGCCAUGAGUAGAUUAUAUGAAAGAUAUGAUUUGAGAUAUAUUAGUUGAAAUACCAUGCUUAGAAGUAUGUGAAAAGUAUAUAGAAAUGUGAAUCGAAAUGCCAUGCAUGAAAUGAUAUGAAAAGUAUGAAUUGAGAUAUGAUGCAUAUGUAUGAAUUGGUGCUGUGGACGCACAGGUGAGUAUCAGGUGAGUAUAUUACUGCUAUGAUGAUGUUGAGAGAUAUAUUGAGCUCAUAACCUGCACCUUGGUAUUAGUGCUUAUUAUUAUUCACCGCAUCGCAUGCUCACCUUGGAUCCAAGUAGAUGCUAGUCGUACAGACCACCGGGGGUGGUUCCGACAUGCCAGUCGUACAGACCAUUAGAGGGGUUCCGACUGGUAGGUGACCUUAGAUUAUGUGCACAGAUGAUUGAUGAGAAAAAGCACUAGAGCAUAUUAUUACACCAUUAAGUCGUACAGAUUACAUUAGGUAAUUCCGACUUAUGUGCAGUGUAGUGCCGUACAGGUCAUACUAGGUGACUCCGGCAUGGCCGAACAGGUCACAGUUGGUGACUCCGGUUAUAUGAGAUUUUGAGCUCUACAUUCAGCCGUACAGGACCAUUGUAGGGUCUCCGGUUGAUUUCUUUCUUGCACCUGAUAUGAUUAUUGCUGAUGCAUUCAUACUUAACUGUUGAAUUUAGACAUGGCAUGGCAUGAUUGAUAAAGAUAAAUGUUGAGAUAGUAAAAAUGAAGUUUUGAUAAUAUAUAUGUAUAUUUAUAUUUUACAUUUCUGGGAAAGUAUACAGGUUUUACGGAGAGGGGUUACAACGUUUUGAGAAAUGU